AUUGAACGCUGGCGGCAGGCUUAACACAUGCAAGUCGAGCGGGGUGAUGGUGCUUGCACUAUCACUUAGCGGCGGACGGGUGAGUAAUGCUUAGGAAUCUGCCUAUUAGUGGGGGACAACAUCUCGAAAGGGAUGCUAAUACCGCAUACGUCCUACGGGAGAAAGCAGGGGAUCACUUGUGACCUUGCGCUAAUAGAUGAGCCGAAGUCGGAUUAGCUAGUUGGUGGGGUAAAGGCCUACCAAGGCGACGAUCUGUAGCGGGUCUGAGAGGAUGAUCCGCCACACUGGGACUGAGACACGGCCCAGACUCCUACGGGAGGCAGCAGUGGGGAAUAUUGGACAAUGGGGGGAACCUUGAUCCAGCCAUGCCGCGUGUGUGAAGAAGGCCUUAUGGUUGUAAAGCACUUUAAGCGAGGAGGAGGCUCUUUUGGUUAAUACCCAAGAUGAGUGGACGUUACUCGCAGAAUAAGCACCGGCUAACUCUGUGCCAGCAGCCGCCGUAA
rnacentral:rRNA from 1 species